UACGUAGGGGGCAAGCGUUGUCCGGAAUUAUUGGGCGUAAAGCGCGCGCAGGCGGUCAUUUAAGUCUGGUGUUUAAUCCCGGGGCUCAACCCCGGAUCGCACUGGAAACUGGGUGACUUUGAGUGCAGAAGAGGAGAGUGGAAUUCCACGUGUAGCGGUGAAAUGCGUAGAUAUGUGGAGGAACACCAGUGGCGAAGGCGGCAUCCUGGACCGACACUGACGCUGAGGAGCGAAAGCCAGGGGAGCAAACGGG
rnacentral:rRNA from 1 species